CCCUUAGAUGUUCUGGGCCGCACGCGCGCUACACUGAUUCAUGCAACAAGUUUUGUCCUUGGCUGAUAGGCCUGGGUAAUCUUUGAACGUGAAUCGUGAUGGGGAUAGAUGAUUGCAAUUAUUCAUCUUCAACGAGGAAUUCCUAGUAAACGCAAGUCAUCAGCUUGCACUGAUUACGUCCCUGCCCUUUGUACACACCGCCCGUCGCACCUACCGAUUGAAUGGUCCGGUGAAAUCUUCGGAUCUGAGAGAUGUCUGAUUAAUUUCGGACGCCUUUUGGAAAAGUUGUUUAAACCUUACCAUUUAGAGGAAGGUGAAGUCGUAACA
rnacentral:rRNA from 1 species